GUGGCAUCUUCGAAGAUCCGUGCGCAGAUAUUUCUUUCAGUGGUGCAUGGAUUCAAAGCGAUGCCCAGAUUAGAUACCAGUUUACUGGGCCUUGUUUCUGCGGGUUUUCCUCUGUUGAAUGCCGAAAGCAUCAUCAAGAGAAUUCGCGAAUGGUGGCAUGCACCUAGCAGUGUUGCUUACCUUGGAAACUGAGGGUACAUCC
rnacentral:snoRNA from 1 species